rnacentral:rRNA from 1 species
GAUGAACGCUGGCGGCGUGCUUAACACAUGCAAGUCGAACGAAGCAUUUGCGACAGAUUUUUUCGGAAUGAAGUUGCUUAUGACUGAGUCGCGGACGGGUGAGUAACGCGUGGGUAACCUGCCUUGUACUGGGGGAUAGCAGCUGGAAACGGCUGGUAAUACCGCAUAAGCGCACAAUGUUGCAUGACAUGGUGUGAAAAACUCCGGUGGUAUAAGAUGGACCCGCGUCUGAUUAGCUAGUUGGUGAGAUAACAGCCCACCAAGGCGACGAUCAGUAGCCGACCUGAGAGGGUGACCGGCCACAUUGGGACUGAGACACGGCCCAGACUCCUACGGGAGGCAGCAGUGGGGAAUAUUGCACAAUGGAGGAAACUCUGAUGCAGCGACGCCGCGUGAGUGAAGAAGUAAUUCGUUAUGUAAAGCUCUAUCAGCAGGGAAGAUAGUGACGGUACCUGACUAAGAAGCUCCGGCUAAAUACGUG